GUCUUUGCCACUUUGUUAAAAGACAGUUGCUUUCCUAGCCAUGGAAGAGCAUAUUCUUACUGACAAAACUGUCACCAUUUAAUUGGUAUCAGAUUCUGAUUUGCACAAGUUAA